rnacentral:rRNA from 1 species
UGAACGCUGGCGGCAGGCCUAACACGUGCAAGUCGAGCGAGAAAGCACUUCGGUGUGAGUACAGCGGCGGACGGGUGAGUAACGCGUAGGAAUCUACCCAGUAGUGGGGGACAACUCGGGGAAACUCGAGCUAAUACCGCAUACGCCCUAAGGGGGAAAGCGGGGGAUCUUCGGACCUCGCGCUAUUGGAUGAGCCUGCGUCGGAUUAGCUAGUUGGUGAGGUAAAAGCUCACCAAGGCGACGAUCCGUAGCUGGUCUGAGAGGACGAUCAGCCACACUGGGACUGAGACACGGCCCAGACUCCUACGGGAGGCAGCAGUGGGGAAUAUUGCGCAAUGGGGGAAACCCUGACGCAGCCAUGCCGCGUGUGUGAAGAAGGCUCUAGGGUUGUAAAGCACUUUCAAUUGGGAGGAAAAGCCGACACCUAAUACGUGUCGGUCUUGAUGUUACCUUUAGAAGAAGCACCGGCUAACUCCGUGCCAGCAGCCGCGGUAAU